rnacentral:misc_RNA from 1 species
UGUCCAAGUCCAUCGCGGUGU